rnacentral:rRNA from 1 species
CCAAUAGCGUAUAUUAAAGUUGUUGCAGUUAAAAAGCUCGUAGUUGAACUUCGGGGUUUACCCAUUGGUCAGGCUUAAUUGUCUGUACUGGUGAGAUAAAUCUCUACCUUCUGAGGAACUUUCAUGUCAUUAAUUUGGUGUGAUUGGAAAUCAGGACUGUUACUUUGAAAAAAUUAGAGUGUUUAAAGCAGGCUAACGUCUGAAUACAUUAGCAUGGAAUAAUGAAAUAGGACGGACUGAUUCUAUUUCGUUGGUUUCUAGGAUCACCGUAAUGAUUAAUAGGGAUAGUUGGGGGCAUUAGUAUUAAAUUGUCAGAGGUGAAAUUCUUGGAUUAAUUGAAGACUAACUACUGCGAAAGCAUUUGCCAAGGAUGUUUUCAUUAAUCAAGAACGAAAGUUAGGGGAUCGAAGACGAUCAGAUACCGUCGUAGUCUUAACCAUAAACUAUGCCGACUAGGGAUCGGACGAAGUUAAUUUUAUAAUGACGCGUUCGGCACCUUACG